AGGUGAAUUCCCAGGCGUACUCCAUGAUUAAUGAAAUAGAUAUCCCUAUACGGAAGCUAAGAUUUUGUUCAGUCGGGCUCUUAUUAAAAAGAAUGAGGCUGAAAUUAAUUAUUUAUGCGCUCAAGAUAACCACCGCCACAAUGGGCGGCUAGUCGACACGGCAAAAAGCUUUAGCUAGAGGAGCUGGCUGUUCUCUGUGAAUGGAAAGAAUGAGGACAAUACCAAGGAAUGUGCGAAUCACAGCUAUCGAUUGGAGUUAAACUCUCUAUUAAGAUAAUUUUACUUUGUAAUAAUUUUUACUAUAUAUAUAUAUAUAAUAUAUUGUGCAAGAAAAUUUAAUUUUUGUGAUUUUCCAUAUUUUAUGUGUGCUAAAUAAAUAUUUAGAAACA